rnacentral:lncRNA from 1 species
GGCAAUGCAACAUGUAAAAAAAAACUAAUGGAAAUUAAAGAAAUAAUAAAAAAAAAUGCAACAUGUAUUAAAAAAAACAAGAGACAUAUUAACAAAAUAUAUAAAUUGCAAGAAACAUUUAAAUAAAAAUUAAUAUGACAUAGAAAUUAAUAGAAGAAAAAUGACAAAUAAUUUACCUCACUGCUAAGAUUUUCUCCGCUUCGAUGGUUGUCAAUCGCUUUUGCUAAGGCAUUUCUCCAUUUCCCCAACUCUUUAUUAAGAACUUUCCACCUACUAGAUAAUGCCAUUUCUGUACGUGUAGAACCAAUUGCCCUUUCACAAAAUGCUUGAUGAAUUUUUUUCCACAUAUGAGAAAAUUUAAUCUCAUUGCCCGUUACGGGACAAUGACUAACUUGGACUCAAGCCUCACACAAGCUAAC